AGAGUUUGAUCAUGGCUCAGAUUGAACGCUGGCGGCAGGCCUAACACAUGCAAGUCGAGCGGAUGAGUGGAGCUUGCUCCAUGAUUCAGCGGCGGACGGGUGAGUAAUGCCUAGGAAUCUGCCUGGUAGUGGGGGACAACGUUUCGAAAGGAACGCUAAUACCGCAUACGUCCUACGGGAGAAAGUGGGGGAUCUUCGGACCUCACGCUAUCAGAUGAGCCUAGGUCGGAUUAGCUAGUUGGUGAGGUAAAGGCUCACCAAGGCGACGAUCCGUAACUGGUCUGAGAGGAUGAUCAGUCACACUGGAACUGAGACACGGUCCAGACUCCUACGGGAGGCAGCAGUGGGGAAUAUUGGACAAUGGGCGAAAGCCUGAUCCAGCCAUGCCGCGUGUGUGAAGAAGGUCUUCGGAUUGUAAAGCACUUUAAGUUGGGAGGAAGGGCAGUAAGUUAAUACCUUGCUGUUUUGACGUUACCGACAGAAUAAGCACCGGCUAACUUCGUGCCAGCAGCCGCGGUAAUACGAAGGGUGCAAGCGUUAAUCGGAAUUACUGGGCGUAAAGCGCGCGUAGGUGGUUCGUUAAGUUGGAUGUGAAAGCCCCGGGCUCAACCUGGGAACUGCAUCCAAAACUGGCGAGCUAGAGUAUGGCAGAGGGUGGUGGAAUUUCCUGUGUA
rnacentral:rRNA from 1 species